rnacentral:rRNA from 1 species
AUGGCGGCCACGCCGUGGCUGCUGCUUCUUUGCCUCAGCCUCGGCGCCGGAGGCGUACUGCAAGCUCGUGCCCAGCCUGACAGUAAAGGAUUCAUAAGCAUAGACUGCGGUCUGCAGGGGGAGACGGGCUACACGGAUAACACCACCAAACUCUCCAUCGCCCCGGACAACGGCGGCUUCACGGACGACGCCGGAACCUGCCACAACAUCUCGGCCGAGUAUGUAACUCCGUUGAUGGGCAAGAGCUGGUACAACUUGCGCAGCUUCGCAGCUGGCACGCGGAACUGCUACACGCUCCGGUCCAUCGUACCCGGGCUCAAGUACCUCGUCCGGGCCAGGUUCAUGUACGGCAACUACGAUGGCCUCCAUCGGCUGCCCAUGUUUGACCUUCACAUCGGCGUCAACUUUUGGCGCACUGUGAACAUCUCCAGCCCAUUCGCGGCGAAGUUCGUGGAGGUCAUUGUCGUGGUGCCGGAUGACUACGUGCAGGUCUGCCUGAUCAACACCGGUGCCGGGACGCCCUUCAUCUCCGGGCUGGACCUCAGGCCGCUCAAAAAGACAAUGUACCCACAGGUGACCGCGGCGCAAGGGCUCGUGCUGUUGACCAGGUUCAACUUUGGCGGCGACGAAAACACCGGUAUCAGGUAUCCUGAUGAUCCACACGAUAGAAUGUGGUUCCCUUGGGUUAACUCUUCAUCGUGGACCGAGAUAUCAACGACGAGGAGGGUCAAGUACGAAGCCGACAGCCCCUUCGAGGCGCCGAUGGCCGUGAUGCAGACGGCCAUUAGGCCGCGGAACGCCUCACACAACAUAGAAUUCGACUGGGAGCCCCAGCCCCAACCCAACGACCCAUCCCCAGGGUACAUCAUCAUCAUGCACUUCUCGGAGUUGCAGCUCCUCCCAAGCAACGCUGUGCGCGAAUUCUACAUCAACCUCAAUGGCAAGUUGUUGAACCGAGAUGUCAUGAGGCCACCAUACCUGUACGGACAGGCCAGCUACAAUACCUUCGCCAUCCGGAAGAGCUACUACAUCGUCUCCCUCAACGCCACCACCAACUCGACGCUGCCGCCAAUUAUCAAUGCUCUCGAGUUGUUCUCAGUCAUACCCACCACCAACCUCAGCACAAACUCCCAGGACGUGUCUGCCAUCAUGGCGAUCAAGGCGAAGUAUCAGGUGCGUAAAAACUGGAUGGGCGACCCGUGCGGUCCAGGGACUGUCAUGGUGUGGGACAGCUUGACAUGCAGCUACGCCAUUGCAAGGCCCCCAGGGAUCAUAAGAGUAGACCUGUCCUCCAGAGGUCUGAAUGGUGAUAUAUCAUCAUCUUUUGCCAACCUCAAAGCCCUCCAAUACUUGAAUCUAUCAAACAAUAACUUGGUAGGCUCAAUUCCAAAUGUUCUUUCGCAAUUAACUUCACUGACAGUUUUAGAUUUGUCACGCAACCAGCUGAAUGGAUCAAUCCCCUCUGGACUCCUCGUAAGGGUCCAAGAUGGCUCACUCGAUCUAAGAUAUGGCAACAAUCCAGACCUUUGCACCAAUGGGAAUUCAUGUCAGCUGCCAACUAAAGAGAAGAGCAAGUUAGCAAUUUACAUUGCCAUCCCUGCAGUUCUGAUAGUGGUCAUGGUGGUGGCAGUACUCUUUUGCUUUAUAAGACGAAAAUGCCAAGGAUCAAUAAACAACUCUGUGAGGCCACGCAAUGAGAUGAUGACCAGCUACGCGUCGGGAGAUGAUUUGUAUGCGGACGGUUCGCUGCGACUUGAGAGCCGCCAAUUCACUUACGAGGAGCUCAAGAUGAUAACAAAAAACUUUGAGCGAGUACUCGGACGGGGAGGGUUUGGGUACGUCUAUGACGGUUUUCUGGAGGACGGCACUCAGGUCGCGGUGAAGCUGCGAUCUCAUUCCUCUGAUCAAGGUGACAAGGAGUUUCUCGCAGAGGCUCGCAUUUUGACACGGAUUCAUCACAAAAAUCUUGUCACCAUGAUUGGUUACUGCAAGGAUGGGGAGUAUUUGGCACUUGUCUAUGAGUACAUGUCAGAAGGAACCUUGCAUGACCAUAUUGAAGGAAGCAAACUUCAAGGACGAUGUUUGUCCUGGAGACAAAGACUCCGAAUCGCACUUGAAUCUGCGCAAGGGCUAGAGUAUCUGCAUAAGGGGUGCAACCCGCCUCUGGUUCACAGGGAUGUGAAGACCACCAACAUCCUCUUAAAUGCAAAGAUGGAGGCUAGGAUUGCUGAUUUUGGCUUGUCCAAGGCCUUCGAAGGCGACAAUAACCAUGUGUCAACUACCACACUUGUUGGCACACCCGGGUAUGUCGAUCCUGAGUACCAGGCGACGAUGCAGGCAACGGCCAAGAGUGAUGUCUACAGCUUUGGUGUCGUUCUUUUGGAGGUAGUUACAGGGAAGCCAGCCAUACUACGGGAAGUUGUGUCCAUCAGCAUCAUCCAGUGGGCAUGGCAACGAAUGGCGCAAGGCAACAUUGAAAGUGUGGUUGAUGCAAGUAUGUGUGGAAUUUAUGAUGUCAACAGCGUUUGGAAGGUGGUGGAAAUUGCCCUAAAGUGCACUGAGUAUGCAUCGACACAUCGACCCACCAUGACCAAUGUGGUGGUGCAGCUGCAAGAGUGCAUCGAGCUUGAGGAGGGCAGCACCGUUGAGGACACAAAUGACGGCACGUACACUAGCGGUGGCAGUGACAACCCGAACUUGAGUUAUGAUCCUUACUUCGAUGAUCGGUCUAUUGAUAUGGACAAGAACAACAUUGCAUUUCAACCGGAACAUAAUGUUAAGAAGGUGCUUGCAAUGUCCACAGGUCCGGUUGCACGUUGA